rnacentral:lncRNA from 1 species
CUUCUCUUUAUUGUUCUAUAUGUAGUCAGUUAUAAAAAUCCCUUCAGGGACUCAUAAGAAAGAUUUAUUGCAUUAAUCCAUCUUCAUUCCUAUUUUCUAUUCAUGUUCUUACUUCUACCCUUGUUUAAAUUUUGAGUACACAUGAUUUUAAUGCUUUAGCCUCUUAACUGAUUUCCAUGAUUUUGUCUUUUCUUUCCUAAACAGAGCCUUAAUUGCUUUUUAUCAUGUACUUCCCUAUUUCCUAUAUUAUUAUGAUUAAUAGAUUUCUACCUUUAAAGGUCUUCACUCUUUCAUUAAAAUUUAAUACAUACCACUUUGUUCUUUAUUUUAGUGUCACCUAUAUAAUACUGGCUGAAGCAGUGACAUUUGAUAGAGAUAUUUUCAUAACACAUCCUCAAUAAAAAGAGGAAAA